rnacentral:lncRNA from 1 species
CGGCGCGGCCCCGCCGGGCGCGCUCCCUCGGCGGCGGCGCCCCGAGCUCGGGGACACGCGGACCCCUGGUUAAGUUCUGGGCCACAGUGCGCUUGCGCAGGGGGCACCAGUGGCAGCAGUAGGGGAGGAGCCUGCGGAGUUUAGACUACGGUGAUAAGGAAAAUACGGAAAGGAUGAGAAAGGGAGUCGGCUCUGGCUCCGCUUGUUAAGCUUAGAGAUUAAGAGCUGGUGCUCUGCAGGUUCCAAUCUGUUGUGACUGUAUGACUUUGGGUGGCCUUGAGCAAGUUAGCUGCUCAAGCUUCAGUGUCUACCUCUAUAAAACGGAGCUGCUAAUAGUGAUGGACCUCACAGAGCUUUGUGAAGGUUGAAUGAGACAGUGUGUGUAAAGGGCUCAGCACAGUGCCUGCACACAGAAAAUGCCCAGGAAGUGCCAGGUUGGCAGUUGGGAAGGAAAGCUGGAUGUGGAUGAGAUCAAGGACAAGCCAGAACCUGUGAAGACAGACUUGGGCCCGCAAAGAACACUGGAACUCACGAGGACAAACUGGAACCUGUCUCUUGCCCCAGUUGACAUCUUGACUGUGACUUUAUGAGAGACCCCAAGGCAGAACUGUUUAGCUAAGCUGCUUUCUGACCCACAGCAACUGUGAGAUAAUAAAU